rnacentral:rRNA from 1 species
AGUCACUGACAUUAGAUACCCGCGUAGUCCAGGGUGUAAACGCUGCAGACUUGGUGUUGGAGGCCCUUUGGGGGCAUUCAGUGCCGGAGAGAAGUUGUUAAGUCUGCUACUUGGGGAGUACGUCCGCAAGGAUGAAACUUAAAGGAAUUGCGGGGGAGCACCGCAACGGGAGGAGCGUGCGGUUUAAUUGGAUUCAACACCGUAAAACUCACCAGGGAAGACUGUUACAUGAAGGCCGAGAUGAAGACUCUGCCAGAUUUUCAG